rnacentral:lncRNA from 1 species
UAAAGUGUGCAACCUCUGCAGAGUGAAAAAUCUAUUCGAAUAGCCGCGUCCACGGUAUUGGGCAGCCCGUCCAGACCUCAGUAGGUGGUCAACUGUAUCAGUGAUAAUAAUGAUGGAAGAACUCGUCUUGUGCAGACAUCAGAAGAUGUCAGGUAUAUGACAUGUUGGCCAUGGGAUGGCUAUGAGAUGAGUGGUCGGAUGACCACAUGA